ACGGGAGGCAGCAGUGGGGGAUAUUGCACAAUGGGGGGAACCCUGAUGCAGCGACGCCGCGUGGGUGAAGAAGCGCCUCGGCGCGUAAAGCCCUGUCAGCAGGGAAGAAAAUGACGGUACCUGAAGAAGAAGCCCCGGCUAACUACGUGCCAGCAGCCGCGGUAAUACGUAGGGGGCAAGCGUUAUCCGGAUUUACUGGGUGUAAAGGGGGCGCAGACGGCGAUGCAAGCCAGGAGUGAAAGCCCGGGGCCCAACCCCGGGACUGCUCUUGGAACUGCGUGGCUGGAGUGCAGGAGGGGCAGGCG
rnacentral:rRNA from 1 species